GUGCCAGCCGCCGCGGUAAUACGUAGGUGGCAAGCGUUGUCCGGAAUUAUUGGGCGUAAAGCGCGCGCAGGCGGAUAGGUCAGUCUGUCUUAAAAGUUCGGGGCUUAACCCCGUGAUGGGAUGGAAACUGCCAAUCUAGAGUAUCGGAGAGGAAAGUGGAAUUCCUAGUGUAGCGGUGAAAUGCGUAGAUAUUAGGAAGAACACCAGUGGCGAAGGCGACUUUCUGGACGAAAACUGACGCUGAGGCGCGAAAGCCAGGGGAGCGAACGGGAUUAGAUACCCCGGUAGUCCUGGCCGUAAACGAUGGGUACUAGGUGUAGGAGGUAUCGACCCCUUCUGUGCCGGAGUUAACGCAAUAAGUACCCCGCCUGGGGAGUACGACCGCAAGGUUGAAACUCAAAGGAAUUGACGGGGGCCCGCACAAGCGGUGGAGUAUGUGGUUUAAUUCGACGCAACGCGAAGAACCUUACCAGGUCUUGACAUUGAUGGACAGAACCAGAGAUGGUUCCUCUUCUUCGGAAGCCAGAAAACAGGUGGUGCACGGUUGUCGUCAGCUCGUGU
rnacentral:rRNA from 1 species